CUUCCUUGUGAGCUCCAGUCUGCCUGGCAAUCCUAGCUCUGCAGGAACCAGCCUACAAGCUCGAACCUGACCAAGAGGUGACAAGGAUGAAAAGUAGACACGGAAUCGGGGCCCGGGCCCAAGCAGUUAGUGUUACGCAGAAUUCAUCCGUCUCCCACCCUCCACGGCCCUUCUCCAGAGCUCCCCGAGGAGGACAGUUGGGCCUCAGUCCUCCUAUUGGGCCUUCCACAGAUGACUAG
rnacentral:lncRNA from 1 species